rnacentral:rRNA from 1 species
GAUCAUGGCUCAGGAUGAACGCUGGCGGCGUGCUUAACACAUGCAAGUCGAACGGAGUGCUCUUGAUUGAGGAUUCGUCCAAAUGAUAGAGUUACUUAGUGGCGGACGGGUGAGUAACGCGUGAGUAACCUGCCUUGGAGUGGGGAAUAACACAGUGAAAAUUGUGCUAAUACCGCAUGAUAUAUCGGUACCGCAUGGUAGUGAUAUCAAAGAUUUAUCGCU